CGCAUCUGUGCAUGCAGUAUAUCAAUAAGCGGAGGAAAAGAAACUAACAAGGAUUCCCUCAGUAACGGCGAGUGAAGCGGGAAGAGCUCAAAUUUGAAAUCUUAAAGGGUUCCCUUUCACGAAUUGUAGUUUAAAGAAGUGUUUUCUGUUGACGGAUCUGGUAAUAUAAGUUCUGUGGAAUAGGACAUCAUAGAGGGUGAGAAUCCCGUAUUUGACCAUUACUUUUCAACUUUGUGAUACACUUUCAAAGAGUCGGAUUGUUUGGGAAUGCAGUCCAAAAUGGGUGGUAAAUUUCAUCUAAGGCUAAAUAUUGGCGAGAGACCGAUAGCGAACAAGUACCGUGAGGGAAAGAUGAAAAGAACUUUGAAAAGAGAGUUAAAUAGUACGUGAAAUUGUCAAAAGGGAAGCGUUUAACACCAGUGUUGUUUUCUGAAAAUCAACCUCUGUUAGCUUUAUGCAUGUUUGUUUAGACCUAAUCAGCUAUCUUGCAUGUUCUAUUGUUUGCAGUGGUGCACUUUUCAGUUUACAGGUCAACAUCAGUUUUUUUUACCGUAAAAAAGUUAAAGAAAGGUAGCUCAUGGCUCCGGUCGUGAGUGUUAUAGUCUUUUUCCUAUGCGGUAGGAGAGACUGAGGUCUGCAGUGUAGGCUAUUUGGCUAGAUACUCAGGUGCUAUGUGAUACCAUUUCAUAAACAACUUGUUGAUUAUGCUUUUGUCUAUUGCAUACUCGCUUGUACUAUCAUACCUACGCUUAGGAUGUUGACGAUCAGCUGAGCGCG
rnacentral:rRNA from 1 species